AAAACUCUAGCUUUGGAAACCCUAGACCUUUAAAUACCAAUCACGGACCCAAAUAACCGCACUUGUUUCAUUCUCGAAGGAACCCUAGAAACCAGAGGUUGAAGAAGCUCACUGUCACGAUGAGAGCCAAGUGGAAGAAGAAGAGGAUGAGGAGAUUGAAGAGGAAGCGCCGAAAGAUGAGACAGCGAUCUAAGUAGAUAUUAUAAAGGUGUCUUCUUUAAUGGUUGCUGCAGUUUCUUGAUUGUUUAAUUAUUCAUCUUUGAUCUUCUUCUUUCAGACUGUUUAAUUUUAGCUUGCUUCUGUUUUGGGUCUUUUAGAUGAUACUAUAUGAUUUGGUAUCUGUGUUUGAAUUUUGGAUUGGAAUUUUAUAAGAAUUUUGGAAAAUUUAAUGAAUCUGAGUUUAGUAUUGUGUUUU